rnacentral:rRNA from 1 species
CAGUCGCCACGGUAAUACAGAGGGUGCGAGCGUUAAUCGGAUUUACUGGGCGUAAAGCGUGCGUAGGCGGCUUCUUAAGUCGGAUGUGAAAUCCCUGAGCUUAACUUAGGAAUUGCAUUCGAUACUGGGAAGCUAGAGUAUGGGAGAGGAUGGUAGAAUUCCAGGUGUAGCAGUGAAAUGCGUAGAGAUCGGAAGGAACAUCUGUGGCGAAGGCGACUAUCUGGGCCAACACUGACACUGAGGCACGAAAGCGUGGGGAGCAAACAGGAUUAGAUACCCCGGUAGUCCCUGUCUCUUAUAC